GGUGUUUUAUGAGCGAAUUCUGUCUUGCCAAAUGCACAGUCACUGCACAGUCAGCUUUGCAAACAGUCUUGGGAAACGACUGCACAUGAUGGUGAAAUACCACGAAAGUCCAAUGUGGUUCCUUGGAAACAAGCUUCUCCGGAUUACUUGCCAACUCUGGGAACAGGAAGGCAGAGACAAUCCAUCUCUGAGAAAUCUUUAGUACACAGUGACCAGUCUCUUGGAAGGCUCUUGCAACGUGUCAUACUUCUCAGUGGCACAUAGAGAGUGUGCACCAGAUUCUUGCUCUUCGCUCUUCAACUUGACUCCUGCCUAGUGGCUCAUGGUCUCUGCCUUGUGUGGGGGAUGGAUGUCACUUUCUGUUUCCACCCCAGAACUGGAGUCUCCAAGCCCAGACUGGAGCCAGCCUUUGAUUCUUCUUUAUAUAUUUUGAACUUUAGUAGCUGAGAAUGAUGGCACCCCUCUGGGCCCUUCUUUUUGAACAUGAUACUCUACCAUGAACUUUUGAAGGUUGGCACUGAAAUACAAAUGGCUUCUAAUUUAUGAGGUCCAACCUACAUUGCUUAGUAUGUUGGUGGGAAAAAAUACUUAUUCAGUCACGGUCAGACAGAUUUUUAAAAAUGACAUCCUUAUUUAUUUUGUGUCUGGGAAAGCACAUGCAUUUCAUGGCACACCUGUGGAGGUCAGAGGCAGCCUUCUGGGAUUCAGUUCUCUCCUUGCACCAUGUGGGUCCCAGGGAUUGAACUCAGGCCAUGCAGUUUGGCAGCAAGCACAUUUACCCAAACUAGAUUUCUGUAUUUGGAAUUUUGGAUGUGGUCCUUUUCUUUAACAGUCUGAUCCUGUCUUGAUGUCAGGCGGUGGCAGCAGAAGCAGUCAGCUCCCAGCCAGCCCCACAUUUACAAGUACACAGCCACUGUUCUCUGUGUUGCUGAGAUCAGUAGGAUGCUCCACAGGCUUUGAAAAAACUCAAUGCAAUUUUGACUUGUGAUACUUUCAACCUGCAGUGGGUUUGCAGGACACAGACCCCACCGCAAGUCUUCUUACAGAAGUUUUCUUACAGAAAGAGCUUCUCACUGCACUUAUUCAGCUGCAGGCCCAAGCACAGCAACAGAGCCAAGGACAAGAUACAUGGACUCAGUAGCUCCCAAGCAGAUUUCACCUGAAGCUAUAGAUACAGUAGCAGUCAUAUGCCUUGCUUUUUUCUUUUCUGGAGAAUUCCAUGCCCUCCUGAGAACAGGCCUUAGCCAAUGAUGUGUCUGCUCAGACACCAGAGGGAUCCAGAGGAGCCACACAAAGCCCAGGCAUAUACAGGAGCUCAUUUUCCCAGGGUCUGGCUUUGGAAGGGUGGGGAGACUUUAGAGAUCCUUAUUGCUCCCCUCCAUGUGACAUCCCCUUAUUCAGUGGAGAUCCUGAGGACAGAGAGGCUUUCCAGGCUGGCUUUUCUUCCUUACUUGGAACUAAGAUAUAGGGAGUAGAAGAAGCAUUUGCUUGUCACCCAUUCCAAGUGUGAGCUCCCCUCUGCUGCUAACUGCUUUUUGAGUUGUGGGAAACAUGUGUCACCUUUCUGAGCUUUGGUUCCUGGCAGAGGAAAUCAUCUACCCAGCAUGAAGAGGAGGAAGUAAGUCACUGAGAUAGACAUUAAAAGUUACAAACAGCCUGCCUUUCAUGGACACCCUACUUCCUGGCCAGCCACCUAGAGGUGAGGAGUCCUGCCACAUACUCUCACCACCACAACUUCCCCGUCCUUGUGGACCACACACUCUAGGUCUGUGAGGCUGAGUGUCCUUCCUCUCUCUAGCUCCUUCUUGUUGGGAAUUCAGUCACAGUGAUGAGAUAAGUAUCUGACGCCAGGUGAUGAUGGGCCAUUAAUAUUUUACUCAAGGCUUCAUGGGGAGUCAGUAGGGAGGACUUACAGCCCCCAACACUCAGAAGAAGCCACGGACUCCCUCAUUAGACACCUUAGUUCUUCCAGGGUUUUCUUCACCGUGAUCAACCUCAUGUCUUCUGCAAUUUCCCUUGCAAUAGAAAACUUAAAGAUCUCACUGAAUGCCCCAAGAAACCCAGUCCCUGCCCUCUGCUUCGUGGCCUGCAGAAACACGGGCUGAGCAUGCACAGUCAACUUGGAACUGAAGACUUUCAGUUUGUUCUGACUACAUCUCUCUGGUACUUUGCUCAUAGAUGAAGAACAAAAACAAGAUAACUCCUGUGUAAGAAGUAAAAAGUCCCUCCCAUUUCUAGAUCUCUAAGGCCUGACUUGUCUAGUCCCCUAUAUAUGCUAUUCCUGGUCUGAAACGGAUGGAUGGUGUUUCUAGCCCAUCAUGUAUUGGAGGAAGUUUAACAAGAAUAUUGAAGUGUGGGGUCAGCAGCUUCCAUCUGCCAUAGGAAGUGAAUCAGAGCAUGUAGCCUUGGUAUCCUCUGAGCAGUCAAACAAGAGGCCUGGCUUCCUGGAAGAAUAAGACCCUCCACCACAGACUCCAUUCCCACCAAAAGAGAGAGGAGAGAGAGAGAGAGAGAGAGAGAGAGAGAGA